AUCGCUUCUCGGCCUUUUGGCUAAGAUCAAGUGUAGUAUUUUUGGUUGCAUGACGUCAUCAAAUUCGCUCUGUAAAUUUUCUCAUUUUUGGAGCACUUAUC